rnacentral:rRNA from 1 species
AGUGAACGCUGGCGGCGUGCCUAAUACAUGCAAGUCGAACGAAGUGGCGCACGGGUGAGUAAUAUAUAGUUAAUCUGCCCUACACAGAGGAACAACAGUUGGAAACGACUGCUAAUACCUCCUAGUGUAGGAUGAGACUAUAUCGUAUCAGCUAGUUGGUAAGGUAAUGGCUUACCAAGGCUAUGACGCGUAACUGGUCUGAGAGGAUGAACAGUCACAAUGGAACUGAGACACGGUCCAAACUCCUACGGGAGGCAGCAGGAAGGAAUAUUGCGCAAUGGGGGAACCCGUGACGCAGCAACGCCGGGUGCGUGAUGACGGCCUACUGGUUGUAAACCGCUUAGCUUACGAAGCCGGUAGUGGCAGAAGAAGCACCGGCUAACUACGUGCCAGCAGCCGCGGUAAUAC